GCCUAGUUGGCUCUGUCGGUUAAGCUUCUGACUUCGGCUCAGGUCAUGAUCUCGAGGUUCAUGAGUUCAAGCCUUGCACUGGGCU
rnacentral:tRNA from 1 species